GACGAACGCUGGCGGCGUGCUUAACACAUGCAAGUCGAACGGUGAUGCUCCAGCUUGCUGGAGUGGAUCAGUGGCGAACGGGUGAGUAACACGUGAGCAACCUGCCCCAGACUCUGGAAUAAGCGCUGGAAACGGCGUCUAAUACUGGAUACGAAACUGGCCCGCAUGGGCAUGGUUCGGAAAGUUUUUCGGUUUGGGAUGGGCUCGCGGCCUAUCAGCUUGUUGGUGAGGUAAUGGCUCACCAAGGCGACGACGGGUAGCCGGCCUGAGAGGGCGACCGGCCACACUGGGACUGAGACACGGCCCAGACUCCUACGGGAGGCAGCAGUGGGGAAUAUUGCACAAUGGGCGAAAGCCUGAUGCAGCGACGCCGCGUGAGGGAUGACGGCCUUCGGGUUGUAAACCUCUUUCAGCAGGGAAGAAGCGAAAGUGACGGUACCUGCAGAAGAAGCACCGGCUAACUACGUG
rnacentral:rRNA from 1 species